UGGGCAACCUGCCCCAGACACAGGGAUAACCCCGGGGAAACCGGGGCUAAUACCGGAUACUCCGGUCGAACCGCAUGGCUCGAUCGGGAAAGCUCCGACGGUCUGGGAUGGGCCCGCGGCCUAUCAGCUUGUUGGUGGGGUAACGGCCUACCAAGGCGACGACGGGUAGCUGGUCUGAGAGGACGACCAGCCACACUGGAACUGAGAUACGGCCCAGACUCCUACGGGA
rnacentral:rRNA from 1 species